GAUGAACGCUAGCUACAGGCUUAACACAUGCAAGUCGAGGGGCAGCAUGAACAAAGCUUGCUUUGUUGAUGGCGACCGGCGCACGGGUGAGUAACGCGUAUCCAACCUGCCCAUUACUCUGGGAUAGCCUUGCGAAAGUAAGAUUAAUACCGGAUGUUGUUUAGAGUUCGCAUGAAUUUUAAACCAAAGAUUUAUUGGUAAUGGAUGGGGAUGCGUGACAUUAGGUAGUUGGUGAGGUAACGGCUCACCAAGCCUACGAUGUCUAGGGGUUCUGAGAGGAAGGUCCCCCACACUGGAACUGAGACACGGCCCAAACUCCUACGGGAGGCAGCAGUGGGGAAUAUUGCACAAUGGGGGAAACCCUGAUGCAGCAACGCCGCGUGAGUGAUGAAGUAUUUCGGUAUGUAAAGCUCUAUCAGCAGGGAAGAAAUUGACAGUACCUGACUAAGAAGCCCCGGCUAACUACGUG
rnacentral:rRNA from 1 species